CCACUACGACAUUUAAAAUGGCAGCUAAUGUCUGUGGAAACUUGGGUGUUUAGGAGCGGGCUAAAGCUAGAGUUCUCUUACUCUUUGAUUACGGGCCCCACUUUCAGAUAAAAACAUAGACCUGAAUGGCAUCAUCCAGUAUCCAAGGAAACCAUAAACUCACCCCUCCUCUCAGUGUGAGGAAGACCUCCUUGGAGUUGCCCUUGGACUAAGGAGGGUGUCUGAGUCUGUACCUGUGUGUGUUACUGGAAUAUUCACUGGGUAGCAAACAUCCGUAGACUUUUUAAUCCAAUCUGAGUCUCCCUGAAAUAGAGUCUCAAGGUGUAUGAUUAGACAGCUUUGUUUGUGUCAUUUACCUUUAUGAACA